UAAUAUGGCGGCUCUCAUUUUGUGAAUUAAUAUAAUCGCUUAGCACUAUGAAUGUAAAUCGCUGCAAUCGAUCCAGCUGAUCAGUCGCUGCGAAAUCGCGAUCGCAAUCGCUCUCACUAUGAAUUCAGGGUUAUACAAAAUAAUAUUGAAGAGGAGGAGAUUAAACAAUCUUAAUAUUAAUAAAAGAAAAGAGGGCGAAUUUUACAUUCUCUUUCCUAAACUCUUAUAAAAUAAGGUUAAAUUUUUCAAUUAUAUGAGGAUGACCAAAGAAACCUUUUAUUACAUACUUGAGCAUGUAAAACCAAUAUUGCUUACAACAUCCACAAAUUUUAUAAAAUAUCCAAUAAGUGUUGAAGAAAAGCUAAUGGUUUGUUUAUGAUAUUUAGCUACAGGCUGUAGAUAUCCUACCUUAGCUUAUUCAUUCAAAAUGGGAAUAUCUACAAUCCAAAAAAUUGUUAGGACCACUUGCAAAGCUAUAUGGCAAACUUUGGUGACCCAACAUAUGAUUACAGCUAACAGAAAAUAUAAUACAAACAUGUACUUUACUCCAUAACUUUAUAAUUGAUAAGGAAAAAUAUAUUCCUAUCAACCUUAAAAAAAAAUUAUCCCCUUUAAUUCACUUAUUUAAUCAACAAUCUAUUAAAUCAGCAACAAAUAUUGCAAAGUUUAAUAGAAAUUUAUUAUGUUUAUAU